rnacentral:rRNA from 1 species
GAGGAAUAAGCAUCGGCUAAUUCCGUGCCAGCAGCCUCGGUAAUACGGGAGUGGCAAGCGUUAUCCGGAAUUAUUGGGCGUAAAGCGUCCGCAGGCGGCCUUUUAAGUCUGUCGUUAAAGCGUGGAGCUCAACUCCAUUUAAGCGAUGGAAACUGGAAGGCUAGAGUGUGGUAGGGGCAGAGGGAAUUCCCGGUGUAGCGGUGAAAUGCGUAGAUAUCGGGAAGAACACCAGUGGCGAAGGCGCUCUGCUGGGCCAUAACUGACGCUCAUGGACGAAAGCUAGGGGAGCGAAAGGGAUUAGAUACCCCUGUAGUCCUAGCCGUAAACGAUGAACACUAGGUGUCGGGGGAAUCGACCCCCUCGGUGUCGUAGCCAACGCGUUAAGUGUUCCGCCUGGGGAGUACGCACGCAAGUGUGAAACUCAAAGGAAUUGACGGGGGCCCGCACAAGCGGUGGAGUAUGUGGUUUAAUUCGAUGCAACGCGAAGAACCUUACCAGGGUUUGACAUCCUGCGAAUCCCUUGGAAACGAGGGAGUGCCUUCGGGAGCGCAGAGACAGGUGGUGCAUGGCUGUCGUCAGCUCGUGUCGUGAGAUGUUGGGUUAAGUCCCGCAACGAGCGCAACCCACGUCGUUAGUUGCCAGCAUUAAGUUGGGCACUCUAGCAAGACCGCCGGUGAUAAACCGGAGGAAGGUGUGGAUGACGUCAAGUCAUCAUGCCCCUUACAUCCUGGGCUACACACGUACUACAAUGCUACGGACAAAGGGUUGCAAGCUCACGAGAGUUAGCUAAUCCCAUAAACCGUGGCUCAGUUCAGAUCGUAUG